UACGGGGGGGGCAAGCGUUGUUCGGAAUUACUGGGCGUAAAGGGCUCGUAGGCGGCCCACUAAGUCCGACGUGAAAUCCCCAGGCUUAACUUGGGAACUGCGUCGGAUACUGGUGGGCUUGAAUCCGGGAGAGGGAUGCGGAAUUCCAGGUGUAGCGGUGAAAUGCGUAGAUAUCAGGAAGAACACCAAUGGCGAAGGCAGCUCGCUGGGACGGUACUGACGCUGAGACGCGAAAGCGUGGGGAGCAAACAGG
rnacentral:rRNA from 1 species